rnacentral:rRNA from 1 species
AUUGAACGCUGGCGGCAGGCCUAACACAUGCAAGUCGAGCGGAUGAAGGGAGCUUGCUCCUGGAUUCAGCGGCGGACGGGUGAGUAAUGCCUAGGAAUCUGCCUGGUAGUGGGGGAUAACGUCCGGAAACGGGCGCUAAUACCGCAUACGUCCUGAGGGAGAAAGUGGGGGAUCUCCGGACCUCACGCUAUCAGAUGAGCCUAGGUCGGAUUAGCUAGUUGGUGGGGUAAAGGCCUACCAAGGCGACGAUCCGUAACUGGUCUGAGAGGAUGAUCAGUCACAUUGGAACUGAGACACGGUCCAGACUCCUACGGGAGGCAGCAGUGGGGAAUAUUGGACAAUGGGCGAAAGCCUGAUCCAGCCAUGCCGCGUGUGUGAAGAAGGUCUUCGGAUUGUAAAGCACUUUAAGUUGGGAGGAAGGGCAGUAAGUUAAUACCUUGCUGUUUUGACGUUACCAACAGAAUAAGCACCGGCUAACUUCGUG